CUUUGCAGUCGUGCAAUUCAGAUUUAGCUUUUUGCAUUUUCGGGAGUUGCUGAUCAUAGUAAUUUCACUGUUUUAUGCUUUAUCCUGAAGGCAUCAACAGUACAUUGGAAAAGUGAAGAAUGCAGUUUUUCAAACUCAGAAGGCUGGUAGGAAGCGUGUUGUGGUAUCCACGGAAGAGAAUGUCAUUGUUUUGCUUGAUCUUCACCAUGGGAAGAUUUUGGUGCAGCUAGCGGAUCUGCUUCACCCAUGGAUGCAAGAAUCUUCUAGCUCGAGCUGUAUCUUUUCAUUUUGAAAUGAUUUUGUAUUGGUGCUGAUUAGAUCAUUGACAUUUUUUUUGGCGUUCAAUUUAAUUUGUUAAUAUUUUGUGUGGUUUAGUGGAAUGUGAAUAUUUCUCUAUUUUGAUAUUCA